CCUCAGGUUCGGAAUAACAGCGAGAAAUUGCUGCUAAUACCGGAUGAUAUCGCGAGAUCAAAGAUUUAUCGCCUGAGGAUGAGCCCGCGUAGGAUUAGCUAGUUGGUGUGGUAAAGGCGCACCAAGGCGACGAUCCUUAGCUGGUCUGAGAGGAUGAUCAGCCACACUGGGACUGAGACACGGCCCAGACUCCUACGGGAGGCAGCAGUGGGGAAUAUUGGACAAUGGGCGAAAGCCUGAUCCAGCAAUGCCGCGUGAGUGAUGAAGGCCUUAGGGUUGUAAAGCUCUUUUACCCGGGAUGAUAAUGACAGUACCGGGAGAAUAAGCUCCGGCUAACUCCGUGCCAGCAGCCGCGGUAAUACGGAGGGAGCUAGCGUUAUUCGGAAUUACUGGGCGUAAAG
rnacentral:rRNA from 1 species